GGGUAAGCCGGCCCCUAAGGCGUAGCUGAAGAGUGAAGUCGAUGGGAAACAGGUUAAUAUUCCUGUGCUGCUUAUAUGAACGAAGGAGGGACGGAGUAGGUUAGGUAGGCCUGGCGAAUGGUUGUCCAGGUGAAAGUAUGUAGGUAGGAAUGCUAGGCAAAUCCGGUUUUCUGUUGAUCUGAGAUACGAGACGAAGUUAAACUUGUUUGACGAAGCUAUUGAUACCAUGCUUCCAGGAAAAGCUUCUAAGUAUAUUGUAUAAGUGACCGUACUGUAAACUGACACUAGUGGGUAGGUAGAGAAUAUUAAGGCUAUAAGAUAACUCUGGUGAAGGAACUAGGCAAAAUGACACCGUAACUUUGGAAGAAGGUGUGCCCUUGAUGGUG
rnacentral:rRNA from 1 species